UACGUAGGGUGCGAGCGUUAUUCGGAAUUACUGGGCGUAAAGAGUGCGUAGGCGGUCCCGCAAGUCCGCUGUGAAAGCCCCGGGCUUAACCUGGGAAUGGCAGUGGAAACUAUGGGACUUGAAUCUGGCAGAGGGGGGUGGAAUGCCACGUGUAGCAGUGAAAUGCGUAGAGAUGUGGCGGAACACCGAUGGCGAAGGCAGCCCCCUGGGCUGAGAUUGACGCUCAGGCACGAAAGCGUGGGGAGCAAACAGG
rnacentral:rRNA from 1 species